rnacentral:rRNA from 1 species
AUUGAACGCUGGCGGCAGGCCUAACACAUGCAAGUCGAGCGAGCGGCGGACGGGUGAGUAAUGUAUGGGGAUCUGCCUGAUGGCGGGGGAUAACUACUGGAAACGGUAGCUAAUACCGCAUACCAUCAGAUGAACCCAUAUGGGAUUAGCUUGUAGGUGGGGUAACGGCUCACCUAGGCGACGCUCCCUAGCUGGUCUGAGAGGAUGAUCGGACACACUGGGACUGAGACACGGCCCAGACUCAUACGGGAGGCAGCAGUGGGGAAUAUUGCACAAUGGGCGCAAGCCUGAUGCAGCCAUGCCGCGUGUAUGAAGAAGGCCUUAGGGUUGUAAAGUACUGUCCGGCGGGAGGCGUUACCGACAGAAGAAGCACCGGCUAACUCCGUGCCAGCCGCCGCGGUAAUUC